GACGAACGCUGGCGGCGUGCUUAACACAUGCAAGUCGAACGGUAAGGCCCUUUCGGGGGUACACGAGUGGCGAACGGGUGAGUAACACGUGGGUGAUCUGCCCUGCACUUUGGGAUAAGCCUGGGAAACUGGGUCUAAUACCGGAUAGGACUACGCGAUGCAUGUCGUGUGGUGGAAAGCUUUUGCGGUGUGGGAUGGGCCCGCGGCCUAUCAGCUUGUUGGUGGGGUGAUGGCCUACCAAGGCGACGACGGGUAGCCGGCCUGAGAGGGUGUCCGGCCACACUGGGACUGAGAUACGGCCCAGACUCCUACGGGAGGCAGCAGUGGGGAAUAUUGCACAAUGGGCGCAAGCCUGAUGCAGCGACGCCGCGUGGGGGAUGACGGCCUUCGGGUUGUAAACCCCUUUCAGCACAGACGAAGCGUAAGUGACGGUAUGUGCAGAAGAAGCACCGCCCAACUACGUG
rnacentral:rRNA from 1 species